GGCCCUCGGGAAAGAGCAAAGUGCAAAUUGGCUACAGCACCCUAAAAGGUGCCGGGGCUC
rnacentral:tRNA from 1 species